rnacentral:piRNA from 1 species
UGGAGGCUGGGCUGCGAGAGUGUUGC